CUUAGAGUUUGAUCCUGGCUCAGGGAUGAACGCUGGCGGUAUGCUUAACACAUGCAAGUCGAACGGUGUCUUCGGACAUGGUGGCGGACGGGUGAGUAACGCGUGAAAAUCUACCUUCGAGUCUGGGACAACCACUGGAAACGGUGGCUAAUACCGGAUGUGCCGGAAGGUGAAAGGCUUGCUGCCUGAAGAUGAGCUCGCGUCCGAUUAGCUAGUAGGUGGGGUAAGAGCCUACCUAGGCGACGAUCGGUAGCUGGUCUGAGAGGAUGACCAGCCACACUGGGACUGAGACACGGCCCAGACUCCUACGGGAGGCAGCAGUGGGGAAUUUUCCGCAAUGGGCGAAAGCCUGACGGAGCAAUACCGCGUGAGGGAGGAAGGCUCUUGGGUUGUAAACCUCUUUUCUCAGGGAAGAACACAAUGACGGUACCUGAGGAAUCAGCAUCGGCUAACUCCGUGCCAGCAGCCGCGGUAAUACGGAGGAUGCAAGCGUUAUCCGGAAUGAUUGGGCGUAAAGCGUCCGCAGGUGGCUGUGUAAGUCUGCUGUCAAAGAGCAAAGCUCAACUUUGUAAAGGCAGUGGAAACUACACGGCUAGAGUGCGUUCGGGGCAGAGGGAAUUCCUGGUGUAGCGGUGAAAUGCGUAGAGAUCAGGAAAAACACCGGUGGCGAAGGCGCUCUGCUAGGCCGCAACUGACACUGAGGGACGAAAGCUAGGGGAGCGAAUGGGAUUAGAUACCCCAGUAGUCCUAGCUGUAAACGA
rnacentral:rRNA from 1 species